rnacentral:lncRNA from 9 species
CUCGCAGUUGGAUCCGCCGGGCUAAAAUUCCGGGGUGGGCGCGCUGCACCCUGGGACAUGUGGUUCUCCGAGGGGCACGGGCGGUUCCUGCGAUCUGGCUUUCCCUGGCGUCUUGCACCAGCCCUCCCUUUGUGGGUUGCAUAGUUCCCAGGAACCUGUCAGCUCUUUAGCCUUUUUCCUGCAAAUACAUUUCCGUGAGUGCCGGCUAGAUGAGGCUCACAUGGCCUCAGGUCCGUGCUGCACGCCAUAAGGAAUAGUAGUCCCUAAAUGCAUACGCUUUUGGAGUUGUCCUCUGCCCUCACCGAGAUUGCAAAACGUUAAAGGCAAAAAUGAAUCGAGCCUUUGACGGCAGUGUGCUGAGAGUUUUCCUUGUAAUCGCUCAUGUACUCUUGGCAACUUUAAUUGCAGCUGAGCUGCCUUUCUGGAAAGUUUCUUCCUUGAUUUCUAUCACCUUGCAUCAUCUGCUUUCCUCUCAGACGGACCAUUCAGGUAAACAACCCCUUCCAUGGAGUGAAUGGAAAGAUAAUGCUUCUCUUUACUUCAGUGUCCCUCCUUCUGCCUGAAAAAGCAAUUAUUCUGGAAGCAUGUGCGUGUCAAUUGGAUUACAUUACCUGGGAGGUGGGCUAAAAACAUCAUCUGGCUAAAAUGUUUGCAGAAAUACCAUUAACCCGCUGCCAUUGUGGAUUGUUAGCUUGAGAUCAACCCAAUGACUUUCCACUUGCAAUCCUUUUAUGUUUAUAAAGAUUCCAUAAACACCGUAUUGUGUCAUUUUAAUACUAACAAUUCAACCUCCCCCCCCCAAAGUAGUAAAAGCCUGUUUUUUCUAAGUUAAAAUUAAAAAGUCCCUAUGUCUUUGAAGGAGACAGUCUCAUAUAGUAUAAAGAUGGUAAAAAAUAAAAGUCUUGAUCAUAGUUCGCAUGAUAGUGAGGAUGACGCCAAACCCUUUCAUUAGUUAUGGUAUAAGCCCAGAGGCUGUGAGAAAGAGAUCCCAAAUACAGUGACUUACACAAGAGAGAAAGUUGUUUCUCUCCCAGUCUCCCAAGUAAUAUUCACAAGCAGGUGGGUGAUUCAGUCCCAAUGAACAAUUCUACUCCACGAAGUCAUUCAGGAACUCAGGUUGCUAUUCUGUCCCCUGAUAGGCAUCUCUAUGUUAGAAGGUGGUUCACUAGCACCACAUAAACAUUCUAGCUGCCAUGAAGGGUAGAGAGAUGGAGGAGAGAAAGUAGUUUCCUUCAUAAAGAAUGGACAAGGAAGCUGCAUGCAUCACUUAAUGCUCACAUCUCAUUGGAAAGGAGUUAUUCAGCCUGUUACACCAAGCUGCAAGGAAGGCUGAGAUUUUUUUGCCUUUAAUUGGGCAGCCAUGUGCCCAGCUUAAACUCAGAAGAUCCUAUUACUAGAAAGGAGAAGAGGAUAACAAAUAGAGCGCCAAUUUGGCACUUGGCAGUCUGUACCAAACUCCUGUUUGGGUGUUUUUACAGUCAUGAUGAUACUUAUAGUGAAGAUGCAAGUACGAGUUUUUCAGUUUGUUUGUUUUAUGGCCACAUCCAUGGCAUGUGGAAGUAUUCAGGCUAGAGGCUGAAUCCAAGCUGCAGCUACGACCUGUGCCACAACUGUGGCAACACCAGAUCCUUUAAUCCACUGUACUGGGCUAGGGAUCGAACCCACGCCUCCUUAACAACCCAACCCACUGCAGUCAGAUUCUUAACCCACUGUUCCCCUGCAGGAACUCCUGAGUUUUUGAAUUCUUAAAAUGGCUUAAUUCUAGAAAAUCACAUUUUAUUUUUAAUUUUGUUACGUGCAGUUUACCUGUCAAAUCCCUAAGUCAAUAAAUAAUAGGCUCUCCUUGCAGAAGUGUUAUUAUUCCGACAAAGCCUCCGAGAAAUUUUAGUUACAGAGAUAGCCCAGUUUAUGAGCUUUGUGACUUUCUCUAUCCUUUCUCAUCUAUAUAAGAUGCAGAGAUGAGGUGUUACUGGAAAUAUUGCAAGGCAGCUUCCCUGGAGAGUACUUAAAUCCCAUGAUGAGAAGAGACACAGCUAGUAAACACUAAAAGCUAUAAUAUCAGUAAUUGCAGGUGCUCCUGGAAUCAAAGGAGAGAAUAAAAGAAUUAAAUAGAGUUAGGAUUAACAUAAAAGGACUAGAGAGCUAGUGCUUACUGUUUCACUUUUGGAGAGGUGGAGCCUGUGGGAAGUUGAUAAGAAAACUUAACAGUUUGUGAAGUUAUUUAAUGUACUUAAUAUUAGGUUUUGGCGAGAAAGCAGGGACGUGAUGAGAGCAGUCACUCAAGGAAGUGUGAAGGAAAACCAGGUAAACAGAAGUGUUUUCCCAUCACUUCCGUUCCUCUCCGAUGCCAGGAAACCUAGAUUUUAGGAACCAUUUUUGUGUAUUUAUUAAGUUUUUUUUUCCUACUCCCAGAAGUCUGAUUCAUGAUUUUGUUAAAAGCAAAUUCUAAAACUGUCUUGUUUGAUAUGGUAGCCAGUGGCUGCAUGUGGCUAUUGAAAUGUGAUUAGGCCGUAAGUGUAAAUAUAUACUGGAUUUCAAAGACUUGUUAUGAAAAAAUAAUGUAGCAUAUCUGAUGAUUCUUUAUAUUGAUUCUAUAUUUAAGUGAUAGUAUUUUAGAUAUAUUGGGUUAAAUAAAAUACAUUAUGAACACUAAUAUUUUUUUGGGGGGUCACACCCACAGCAUAUGGAGGUUCCCAGGCUAGGGGUCUAAUCGGAGCUGCAGCCAUUGGUCUACACCACAGCCACAGCAACGCCAGAUCUGAGUCAAGGCUGCGACCUACACCACAGCUCAAGGCAACGCCAGAUCCUUAACCCACUGAGCAAGGCCAGGGAUCAAACCCACAACUCAGGGUUCCUAGUUGGAUUUCUUUCCACUGUGCCCCAGCAGGAACUCCAUGAACACUAAUUUGACCUGUUUCACCUUUUUAAUGUGACUAUUAGAACAUUUUAAAUUAUGUUAUGAUUCAUAUCAUAUUUCUAUGGAACAUACUGAUUUAGAAGCUCCAUUACAAAGAGGAUGGACGAUCUCUUUUUCCAGGCUUGAAUUGACCUCUGGCACAUUGUCUUCAUCCAAAGGUUAUAGAAUUUUAAACCAGCAGCCUCUCCAUCCUGCACUCUCUCAUACCACAAAUCAGGGCAAGGAUGCAGAUUGUGUGGCCCAGGGCCACUGGCCUUGAGUUGAAAAAUGUCUAAUGGUGGAUGUCUUACGAAUCUGCAAAGAGGUCCUUUCCAUUCAGGGGCAAUUCUCACUGUGAGAAACCCUUUCUUUACACUGGGAAGAAUAUUGGCUCUCUGUACUUUCAACUUCUUCUGAGGCUUUCUCCUUUAGCAUAAUUAAAAUAAAUCUAGGCGUUCCCAUCGUGGUUCAAUGGAAACAAAUCUGACUAGUAUCCACAAAGACACAGGUUCAAUCCCUGGUCUUGCUCAG